UACGUAGGUGGCAAGCGUUGUCCGGAAUUAUUGGGCGUAAAGAGCGCGUAGGCGGUCUGUUAAGUCUGAUGUGAAAGCCCCCGGCUCAACCGGGGAGGGUCAUUGGAAACUGGCAGACCUGAGUGCAGAAGAGGGGAGUGGAAUUCCAUGUGUAGCGGUGAAAUGCGCAGAGAUAUGGGGGAACACCAGUGGCGAAGGCGGCUCUCUGGUCUGUAACUGACGCUGAGGCGCGAAAGCGUGGGGAGCAAACAGG
rnacentral:misc_RNA from 1 species